AUGGAGAAGAAUGCAAGAUCAAGAAUCCGCAGAUCAACAAUGAGUGCAUGGAAAAUAUAUUGCUCAUUUUGGUUUUGGGAAGGCGAAUACAUUGAUUUAUUGAUAGAAAGAAACUUAAUAGACGUUUGUGCACUCAUUAGUACAAUCGAAGGUAAUGAAGCGGCUGCAUGUGCAACUAGAGGGGAAGCAACGUCUACUUCUUUAGAACCAAAGAAUAAGAAUGAAGAAUGCAAGAUCAAGAAUCCGCAGAUCAACAAUGAGUGCAUGGAGAAGAUAUUGCUUCAACUAGUGGGAGCAGUUAUGGAAGUUGGAAAUCUUCUAAAAUGCAUAAUUAUGGUUCUUGUUUUCUUUGGUCUUGCUAUUCUAGCAAAGAUUUGGUGA
rnacentral:rRNA from 1 species